AACAACCAGAACAACCCAACAACUGGUCGCUAUGAUGUGCGCUGACCACCAGGGGGCGUCAUGGAAUAUGGCGGGCGUCAGCUACAAUGGGAUGGUGAAGCAGAUAGUCCUUCCUGGAUUAUCCUCAUGUACGUGUACUUCUGUUUCCUGCUGGGCUUCUGAGUGAUGCUGACUCAUUAGCCUACGUUGAGUAUCACAUUCCAAGAAUUAAAUCAGAUGACGAGCUAAGGCUUUAUUCCAACAUUAUGAAGAGGCCAGGAGAAAAAUGGGACCUGACAGGCCAUCUGCACUACAGGCUCCCAACAACUCUGCAUGAGUUGCCUGCAAAACCACGCUCACUCCAAGCGCAUGGAUGAUCACUGUGCUGCGUGAAUUUGUAACCAGCCUGCGAAACUUGGCUGCCACCACAUGGGCAAGUUUGAGUGGUGGCUGGUCCUGGUCCAGCGGUAACCACUCCAGCUGUGGUGAAUCAUGGGGAGGUUGUGAAAGAGCCUCUGUCAGAGACUGGCUUCUUGAAGCCCUUUUCCUGCCUGGAGAUCAUAGAGAAACAGAUACCAAGAGCUGAACCUGUCCUAUUCAGAGUAGGGCACCAGCAUCAGUUCUCCCCUCUCCAUUUCAGGCUCAACCUCAU